rnacentral:snRNA from 1 species
GUGGGAGCUUCGGCGCAA